rnacentral:tRNA from 1 species
GGUUAGCUCUGCGGUUCAAGAGCGUCCCGCUUGCGGGACAAGAUGUCGGGGGUUCGAAUCCCUCACUACCCA